AUGACUUGUACUCAUGCAGCAUUGAAGAGAAGAGACUUUCUUCAAUUGGGUUUCAAAUAUGACAAUUUACUGAUGGAAGAAAGUGCACAGAUAUUGGAGAUAGAGACUUUUAUACCAACUCUCCUGCAACGGCAGGAAGAUGGCUAUGCUCGUCUCAAACGUUGCAUUUUAAUUGGUGAUCACCAUCAGUUACCCCCUGUCGUGAAGAACAUGGCUUUUCAGAAGUACAGCCACAUGGACCAGAGUCUCUUCACAAGGUUUGUUCGCCUUGGUGUCCCUUAUAUUGAACUCAAUGCUCAGGGUCGUGCCAGACCUAGUAUUGCUCAGCUUUAUAAUUGGAGAUACAGAGAACUGGGAGAUCUGCCUUAUGUACAUGAGGAAGCUAUAUUCCAUAAAGCUAAUUCUGGGUUCUCUUACGAGUAUCAGCUGGUUGAUGUUCCUGAUUAUCGUGGCAGAGGCGAGUCUGCUCCUUCUCCUUGGUUCUACCAGAAUGAAGGGGAGGCUGAGUAUAUUGUUAGUGUCUAUAUUUACAUGCGUCUGAUUGGAUACCCUGCCAAUAAGAUUUCAAUAUUAACCACUUACAAUGGUCAGAAGCUUCUUAUUCGUGAUGUUAUCAGCAGACGAUGCAAGCCAUGGAAUAUUGAGCCACCUUGCAAGGUUACUACGGUGGACAAAUUCCAGGGUCAACAAAAUGAUUUUAUUUUAUUGUCUCUUGUCCGGACCCGAUUUGUGGGUCAUCUUCGUGAUGUCAGAAGGCUUAUUGUGGCAAUGUCCCGUGCUCGGUUGGGUUUAUAUGUGUUCUGCCGCUGUUCUCUGUUUGAACAAUGUUAUGAACUGCAGCCAACAUUCCAGCUUCUACUCCAAAGGCCCGAUAAGCUUGCGUUAAAUCUUGAAGAGUGCACUCCGUUUACAGAGCGACCUUUGGGAGAAGCUGGAAAUAUUCAUUAUAUUACUGAUGUUGAAGAUAUUGGACACUUGGUGAACUUCAGACUGGAACAUCUUCGCCAGAUGCAAUCCAUGCAAUAUUAUGCACCCCAUGCAAAUGCUGAUGCAGCCCCUCCUGAAACUGGCAAUGGUGAUAUUGUUUUGGAUAAUGCGAAGGAUGGCACAGAGAAAGAAAAUGGUGAGGCAACUGAUGCUGUGAACAAUGACAAGAUAGAGGAAGAUACUGUUGAGUCAAAAGAUGAUACGGUGCAGGAAGUAAACAAGAUGGAUGAAGGUAAUGUGACUAGAGAAGACAAGAUGGGGGAAGAAAGUGCUGAUGAGGCUAAGGACAAGAUGGUGGAAACUACUGCUGAAGUGGCUAUUGAGAACAACAUAGUGGAAGUAAAUGCCAAUGUGGCCAAGGACAAGAUGGACGAAGAAAAUGCCUUGUCAAAGGGCGUGGAGCAAGAUUGA
rnacentral:rRNA from 1 species